GGAGAAAAGCAGGGGAUCGCAAGACCUUGCGCUUUUGGAGCGGCCGAUGCCUGAUUAGCUUGUUGGUGAGGUAAAAGCUCACCAAGGCUUCGAUCAGUAGCUGGUCUGAGAGGACGACCAGCCACACUGGGACUGAGACACGGCCCAGACUCCUACGGGAGGCAGCAGUGGGGAAUUUUGGACAAUGGGGGCAACCCUGAUCCAGCCAUGCCGCGUGAGUGAAGAAGGCCUUCGGGUUGUAAAGCUCUUUCAGCCGGAACGAAACGGUUACGGUUAAUACCCGUGACUACUGACGGUACCGGAAGAAGAAGCACCGGCUAACUACGUGCCAGCAGCCGCGGUAAUACGUAGGGUGCGAGCGUUAUUCGGAAUUACUGGGCGUAAAGCGUGCGCAGGUGGUUUUGUAAGUCAGAUGUGAAAUCCCCGGGCUUAACCUGGGAACUGCGUUUGAAACUACAAAGCUAG
rnacentral:rRNA from 1 species